rnacentral:rRNA from 1 species
AUUGAACGCUGGCGGCAGGCCUAACACAUGCAAGUCGAGCGGAGCGGCGGACGGUUGAGUAAUGCCUAGGAAUCUGCCUGGUCGUGGGGGAUAACGUCCGGAAACGGGCGCUAAUCCCGCAUACUAUCAGAUGAGCCUAGGUCGGAUUAGCUAGUUGGUGGGGUAAAGGCCUACCAAGGUGACGAUCCGUAACGGGUCUGCGAGGAUGAUCCGUCACACUGGAACUGAGACACGGUCCAGACUCCUACGGGAGGCAGCAGUGGGGAAUAUUGGACAAUGGGCGAAAGCCUGAUCCAGCCAUGCCGCGUGUGUGAAGAAGGUCUUCGGAUUGUAAAGCACUUUAAGUUGGGAGGCGUUACCCGCAGAAGAAGCACCGGCUAACUCCGUGCCAGCCGCCGCGGUAAUUC